rnacentral:rRNA from 1 species
GACGAACGCUGGCGGCGUGCUUAACACAUGCAAGUCGAACGGUGAAGCGCCUUCCUUUUUGGUGGGUGUGGAUGAGUGGCGAACGGGUGAGUAACACGUGAGUAACCUGCCCCCUUCUUCUGGAUAACCGCAUGAAAGUGUGGCUAAUACGGGAUAUUCUGGGUCUGUCGCAUGAUGGGUCUGGGAAAGAUAUUGUUUCGGUGGGGGAUGGGCUCGCGGCCUAUCAGCUUGUUGGUGGGGUGAUGGCCUACCAAGGCGGGGACGGGUAGCCGGCCUGAGAGGGUGGACGGUCACACUGGGACUGAGACACGGCCCAGACUCCUACGGGAGGCAACAGUGGGGAAUAGUGCACAAUGGGCGCAAGCCUGAUGCAGCAACGCCGCGUGAGGGAUGGAGGCCUUCGGGUUGUGAACCUCUUUCGCCAGUGAAGCAGGCCUGCCUCGUUUGUGGGUGGGUUGACGGUAGCUGGAUAAGAAGCGCCGGCUAACUACGUG